CUUCACUCCAAAGUGUUCUUUUUGCCUGUAGUGGCCACUUCAGCUCUCUGAGUUCCUCCCAAACUCACAGCAUCUCCCACAUCCAGCUCCUCCUCCGAACUGCCCAGUGUUCCUCUAGAAACUCUCUUUCUCUCAUGCCAGCUCACUCAGCCAUGAACGAAAGACAACCAGAGGUGGUUUUCAUAUUGGCCACUUGAAUGGUUGUUUGCGUGGGCUUUGGAUCUCUAAGGCUCUCAAGCUGCUCUCUGAAUCUUCAAUGCUCUGAAGGGGAUUGCUUUGGAUCCCGCCUCUUAGACUUCCACCAUACCGAGGCUCCUAGCCUAGCCGGCAUCCUGCCUACUGCUAGUGCUCAGUAGAUUAAGUGUCUCACUAUGUAACCCUGGCUGUCCUGAGUCUCCAUGUGUUGACCAGGCUGGCUUGAAACUCAGAUCUGACUGGGAUUUGAACUGUGCAAGACCGUAGCCUGCUCCCCACGAGUCUUGACGAGCAUUUGGUAGUGACGCUCUGGGGAAGGCAUGACUUGAGAUGCUCUUGGACCCAAUCUCCUCCAAAGCUGCUUGCACUUUAGGAUCCUAUGGAACCCCAAACAGAAGAUUGACUGAGGCCCGCGAGAUGGCUUAGUGGGAGAAAAGAUGCUUGUUGCCAAGCCUGAUGACCUGAGUUUGAUCCCUGGGUCCCACACAAUGGAAGGAGAGGACGGACGCUUCUGACCUCCAUACGAGCACCUUAGCAUGUGAUACACAGGCUAAAUAUGUAGACAAGCAGAAAGCUGGAACUCAUCCCACUCUGCCUGGGACAAGGGGAGAGCUGAAAGAAUGAGCAUGAAAACCCAAAUAAAUAUGCUGGUAUCAGCUAUGAAGGGUCUAUUUUAACUAAGCGACACAAGAAUGUUUCCACUGCGGCAUCUGGCACCAUACUGAGCAACCCUAGACAUGGCUUCUGAGUUAAGUGGGCCCUUACUGCCUGCUCCAUCGGAGACAUCAGGAGCUGCACAGAACUUCAAAACAUUCUGCUCCAGCUCUCAUGGACACUCACAGAGACUGCACGGCUUUCCUGCAGCUAACCACCCUUCAAGGAUUGUGCUCCCUGGCCUCUUAACUCCCUCUAAUCUGUCUACUAUCUUUCUGUCUCCCAGUCUUCCCAUCUCUCUCUUUACCUCCUUUCCCUCCAUCCUUUUUUAUGUAGGGAGAGGGGUAUUUUGUUUUGGGGGACAGGAUACCAUGUAGCACUAGCUAGACUACAGCUUCAUAUGUAGGCAAUGCUAUCACUGAACUUCUGAUCCAUCUGCCUCUACUACCACUUAAGUGUUGGGAUUAUAGGUUUGUUAAUAUUAAUCCACAGACAAAGGUAUCUCUCCCUAAAACUCUUUCAGGGCCCUUUUUCUCUGUGCCAGCACAAUCAGUUCUUUGACAAGAAGACUAUAUUCAUGGUAUGGUAUGGUAUGGUAUGGUAUGGUAUGGUAUGGUAUGGUAUAGUAUUUAGAUGACUACUCAGAUGUCUAAGACAUGUUGGAGAUGUUGGAGACAUCUGACCAACUCUGCCUGCUCUCUGAAGAUAAUGAGCGAUGAAUUCAAUCCUGCUUUUUGAUUGGGUGAUGGGGGAAGAGUCUUCUGUUUUGUGUUAAUUUCAUUGGUUAAAUAAAGAGACUGCCCUGGCCCUUUAAUAGGACAGAAAAUUAGGUAGGCGGAGUAGACAGAACUGAAUUCUGGGAGAAAGAAGCUGAGUCAGUGAGUUGCCAUGAUUCUCCCAUUCCAGACAGAUGCAGGUUAAGAUCUUCCCUGGUAAGCCACCUCGUGGGCUAUACAGAUUAUUAGAAAUGAGUUAGGUCAAUAUGUAAGAGUAGCCAAUAAGAGGCUGGAACUAACGGGCCAGGCAAUGUUUAAAUGAA